UGGUUCUGGCAUCGAUGAAGAACGCAGCGAAAUGCGAUAAGUAAUGUGAAUUGCAGAAUUCAGUGAAUCAUCGAAUCUUUGAACGCACAUUGCGCCCCUUGGUAUUCCGAGGGGCAUGCCCGUUCGAGCGUCAUGUCUAAUCAAUCAAGCCUGGCUUGGUGUUGGGCGACGGGGGAGACCCGCGCCUCGAUGUCUGUCGGCCGGACGACCCGGACCCGCGUUGUGGAAAACUUCGUCGCGGGGGACCCGGGGGCGGACGCGCCGGAAAACGCACACAUGGUUGACCUCGGAUCGGGCAGGGAUACCCGCUGA
rnacentral:misc_RNA from 1 species